CCCUUCCUCCACAUCUAUAGCCUCUCUCUUCCUCCUCUUUCUCGCUCUUCCCUUCGAAGGAAACCCAUGGUGAAAGCAUUUAAAAAAAGUUUCCAAAUCCUUCUACACAUUCAUUGAUCCCUAAUUUUUUUCUGUGCAAUUAAAGAUUGAUUACCUUUUUUUCGAAAGAUUGAAGGACCAGAAAGACAACCGACUCAUACCAGAUGUGCACGUGCGGCUCCUCACUCCCCAUCACUACUAACCGCAGGUCGGACCAUCGUAUGCCGUUGCAACCACCGACCACUAUCCUUUCGUCCCCAGAAAAAAAUGACGCAGACCCUCUCUCCCUUGCGAUCCCCUUUUUCCCAGUGCAACCAAUUCAAAAACUCGUUGCUUACUCCCAAGGUUUAUAUUUGAUUUUGUGGGAUGGAUUUUAACGAUUUGCCUUACAGUAGUUUUACAUGUUUUACUUUCUACUUGUGAAAGAAAGCAUUAUCGAUUGUACUGCCUUUUCCCUGUAUUUAAGGUGUUUGAAAAAAUGUCUUCCACAUGCCAAUGGUGCUUCGUCCUUCUAUGCUUUUUGUUACUACAUGAUCAUGGGUUAGUAGUCUACCAAAGUUGAGUGCCAAGUUAAGACUAAUAUAAUUAAAUAAAAUUAUAUAAUUUGAAAGUUCCCAAAAGUAACACAAUAGAACCUAUUUCAUUUCAGAUUUGUGCUAACUUUUAGGGGAUUUUGAGCUCGAAGAAAUUUUAAGCAUGCAUUUUGUUUUUGAUUAUUGCAUCUUUCUGCGUUUAAUAAGUUUUUCCUUUUUGUGUUGGAGUUCGUAAGCCGUGGGGGUGUUUAAAAAGAUGCCUAUUAAUUUUUUGUUAAAAUGCAUACUUGAAAAUGAGCACAUACGUUUAGGAGUAAGUGAUUUUUUAAGAGGCAAACUGUUUUGAUAUGUCACUUUCUACUAGCAAUUUAAGUUUAAGUCUAGAUUUUAUUGAGGUGCCUAACCAUCUAAAAUUUAAACACUGUUAGUGUCCAACCAUCAAAUUUCAUCCAUUGCUUGAUCCUCUUCUUUACACUUCGAAUUAUUGGGGAAAUUUAUGAUGAGGAUGUUUGGACGCAAUGAAAGAAGAUUGUAGGCAUCAAACUUCCACUCGAGCUGAGGGCCAAAAUUUGAUCUGAGGGGAUACAAACCCAGGUAAAGGAAAAAAAAAGUUUCAGCUUGAAGUCUAUUCUUUUUGUAAUCAUAUCAUUGUUUUUAAUGUUUUCCUUUUGUUUGGUUUAAGUUUCAUGCAAUUUAUUUUCUCCUUUUUGUGUUAACUACUAUGGGUGGUGCUUCUGCAUGCUGGGAUUUUCAGAGAGGAUCCCUGGAAGUGGAACUAUCCCCAUGUCAAAGCAUUUAUAAAAUGCAAUUGGUAACCGCUAGGACGCAUUUGAAAAAAUUGCUACUCAUAAACUCAUUUGCUCCCCUCGCAUAUCACCAUGAGCAUUUUAUAGUCUGAUAUAGUGAAACUGAGAUAGACGAGUCAUUUUUUUUCCAAUUACGUCUGGUUAUUAUAUAGGUUAGGGGUUGGACUACAUAUAGUCACCCUCUAAUAUUGCCAUCUUCAGACAAACGAAAUACGAAAUUAUGCCUGUUGAUGGUAAGAUUAAUUGCAUUCUCUCCCUUUUUUUUCAUUUGAAGAGUUACGACUUAUUCGUAAUGAAUUGUUAUAGAAUUAUAGUGAUACUGAUUAGUUUUUUCUCUUUUGCCUUUCCUUGAUGCUAUGAUAGGAAGAGAGUUUGAAAUUGGUGGUGAUUCUCUCUCCCUCUCUCACUCUCUCAGAUUCGGAAGUUCAUACCUGGCUACCUGCUAUGUGAAGAGCGUUUUGAAACUUAACCUGGGUUUCAUUCGGUGACCGUGUGGAGCCCUAAUUGUGUGUGGGUUACUUGACCUAUUUGGAGCCCAAUCUGUUAACAAUUUCUGUUCAAGUGUCCUAUCAAUAUAUUUCUCUUCAGAUAAAAUGAAGUGAAUUCAUUCCUUUGAAUGUAGAGCUUAUAUAAAAAGAGAUCAUGUAGCAGACUUAGUAGAGUGAGCAGCUGGCAUGCUUAACCACUAACCAGCAAUCUGUUAGGCGCUGGUGAUCAUGUAGCAGAUUUUAUCAUGUUUUAUUUGUUUGAGUGUGUGUAUGCAAAAGUUAGGGAUUGAAAAAUUGAUUAUUUAUUUGCUUAUUCAAGUUAACCAUGUCAAUGGAUA